rnacentral:rRNA from 1 species
GACGAACGCUGGCGGCGUGCCUAAUACAUGCAAGUAGAACGCAGUUGCGAACGGGUGAGUAACGCGUAGGUAACUGCCUGGUAGCGGGGGAUAACUAUUGGAAACGAUAGCUAAUACCGGAUACUACCAGAUGGACCUUGGGUUUAUUAGCUAGUUUGUGAGGUAACGGUAAACCAAGGGAACGAUACAUAGGCGACCCUGUGGGGAGAACCGGCAACCUGGGAAUGAGAAACGGCCCGAACCUCUACCGGAGGCAGCAGUAGGGAAUCUUCGGCCAUGGGGCGAAACCUUACCGAGGCACGCCGCGUGGGUGAAGAAGGGUUUCCGAUUGUAAAGCUCUGUUGUUUAGGAAGCGGUACUUAAACAGAAAGGGACGGCUAACUACGUGCCAGCAGCCGCGGUAAUAC